CACCAGACUCCUACGGGAGGCAGCAGUGGGGGAUAUUGCACAAUGGGGGGAACCCUGAUGCAGCGACGCCGCGUGGGUGAAGGAGUGCUUCGGCAUGUAAAGCCCUAUCGGCAGGGAAGAAGCAAGACGGUACCUGACUAAGAAGCCCCGGCUAACUACGUGCCAGCAGCCGCGGUAAUACGGAGGAUGCGAGCGUUAUCCGGAUUUAUUGGGUUUAAAGGGUGCGCAGGCGGGGGGGCAAGUCAGCGGGCAAAGUGCGGGGCUCAACCCCGGUCUGCCGUUGAAACUGGAUCCCGUGAGGGCGCGAGAAGGAUGCGGGAUGCGUGGUGUAGCGGGGAAAUGCAUAGAUAUCACGCAGAGCGCCGAGUGCGAAGGCAGC
rnacentral:rRNA from 1 species